rnacentral:rRNA from 1 species
GUGGGGAAUAUUGGGCAAUGGGCGAAAGCCUGACCCAGCAACGCCGCGUGAGGGAAGAAGGCCUUCGGGUUGUAAACCUCUGUCCUUGGUGACGAAAAAAAUGACGGUAGCCAAGGAGGAAGCCCCGGCUAACUACGUGCCAGCAGCCGCGGUAAUACGUAGGGGGCGAGCGUUGUCCGGAAUUACUGGGCGUAAAGGGUGCGUAGGUGGCCUUUUAAGUUGGAUGUGAAAUCCCCGGGCUUAACUUGGGUGGUGCAUCUAAUACUGGAGGGCUAGAGUGCAGGAGAGGGAAGCGGAAUUCCUAGUGUAGCGGUGAAAUGCGUAGAUAUUAGGAGGAACACCAGUGGCGAAGGCGGCUUUCUGGACUGUAACUGACACUGAGGCACGAAAGCGUGGGGAGCAAACAGGAUUAGAAACCCCAGUAGUCC